AAGCUGUCUGUACAUGGGUCACUUUUUAAGGGAAUUUCUAGCUUUUGUCUCUCAGACUCUUCCUGUUCUGAGCCACAAAUCCAGACCAAACAGAACUGGGACUCUGGAAAAAGGAGGCUAGUGACACAGCCCCAGGGAGCGUGGAGCAAAUGCUCAGUCACAGGUGAGUCUCAAACCAUACACCCUGAAGAUAAAGACACCUUGGCUGUGAGAACAGGUGGAGGCAGGUGCUGCAACAGUGAUUGACUGGAGGACAGAUGUGGAACAUGGAGCUGGCGGUGCCAUGUGGAAGCCACUCAUAGCCCUCACUGGCUCUAGAUUCAGAGCAGGAUGGACAGGUGGAAAGUUCAUCUGGCCCUCAAGUCUUCAAAUGACUCUGCUUGAUCCUGCCUGCCCACCAAGACAACAGCUGUCCAUGAGGGCAAACCACUUGUGAUCCAGUCAAGAGAAAUGAAGGCUCACAUUGGCAACCUCAGAGCUUUCCAGUUCAUAUUGUGAACUUCACUGCCUUCCUGAAUGGUGGCUGUAUUGUUUUGUUUGCUGACUUGUUCCAUGGGUCUCCUAUGCAACGAGGGUUUUUUCCUUUUUUUUUUUUUUUCUUUUUCUUUUUCUUAGCCUUCUUUAGCACUUUUUAGCCUCCUGAGUGGUGAAGCUUACAGGUGUGAGCCACCACACCUGACUACAGUGCAUUCCUCUUCCUCCUCCAACCUCUCCUCCUCCUCCUCCUCCAACUCCUUUUCCUCCUCUAACUCCUCCUCUUCCUCUGAUAUAACAAAAUAAAAUAAGAUAAAACAAAAAGCUAUCACAUCUGAGUUAUAUAAGACAAACCAACAGCCUAAGAGAAGGCGCAAGAAUCAGAGACUCAUUUGUUUGCACACUUAGGAGUACCAUAAAGAACGCUGAUCUGGAAACCAUAAUGUAUACUAAGAGGACCUGGCACAGACACAUGCAGGCCCUGUGCGUGCUACCUCAGUCUCGGUUCAUAUGAGCUUCACUUGCAUUGACAAGGCCUUGUUUUUUGGGUAUCUUUCAUUCCCUCUGGG
rnacentral:lncRNA from 1 species